rnacentral:tRNA from 1 species
GCCCCCGUGGCGAAAUCGGUAGACGCAGCGGCCUUAAAAGCCGAGACCUUAGGGUGUACGGGUUCGAGCCCCGUCGGGGGUACCA